AGGGCUUCCCUCGCUUUGUUACUAAUAACCUCAUUCUUCGCAUUUCCUUGCCUCCCUUACUGACUGAAAGAGAAGCUCAUUUUUCCCUCCCUCUCGCCUAAAACUCUUUCUUUUCCCUCUCUCACUAAAACCUAAAACCUUUUUGCACGAUUUCCUUCUUCAUUACUCGUUAUUGGCUUUGGGGCUUUUCUAGUUUUGAGCCUCUUUCAAGCGUAAGAAACCAUUGAUAUCAAGCAAAAACAGAAACCAUGGAAGGUUUAGAGGAGAGGAACAUUGAAGGAAGGCCACUUGAGUGUGGUGAGCAAGUGUAGAGAUAGGAUCAGAGGCGACAUAUAACAUACAGUGGUUUGACCAACCUCACCAUAUUCGUCAGCAUGUCCUCGAGGUUCAGGGUUUGUAGGUGGUUCGACACCACUUGUAUAAGUGGCUGAGCAUCGUUGAACCCCAGGAGUAACCUACUUAGCUGCUCAAGAUCCUCAAGGAUGUUUAGGUAGUGUCGUCCGACGCUUAAAGAGCCACUUUAACCCAUCCAUGUGGCAGAAAACCUCUGAACACUUGGGGGAACUACGUCUUCGAUUGGAGAGUUAUGGGUUUGACCUUUUCUGCAGGAUUAGGUUUAAAAAAGUAGACUUAAGACAGAUCGAGCACAUAUGUAUGAGAUGGAGGCCUGAAACCCAUACCUUCCUGUUUCUUAUUGGAGAAGUGACCCCUACGCUAGAGGAUGUAGUGAGAACACUAAAAUUCAAGGAGCUACUAGGUUUUGAAAAAACUAGAGGGAAGAAAUAUGAAAUUCGGUAUGAGGCGCUAUUAAAUGUCUACAAACCCGAUGUUAGAUCGAACUCUGAAGAGGAAAAGGAUUUUAGAAUCUGAGCCUUUUUUCUUAUAGUUUUCGGAUCUAACUUAUUUGCUAAUAUACAAGCGGAAUAAACUUACGCUACCUAAAUAUCCUUGAGGAUCUUGAGCAGCUAGGUAGUUACUCCUGGGUUUCAGCGAUGCUCAGCCACUAUAUAAGUUGCUUAGACGAUAGAGUUCUUAUGGGUCAUUCUUACCUUAGAGGGUGUGUGGGGUUCCUCAUGUUAUGGAGCUUUGAGUACAUAGCCAUAUGUCGCCCUAUCUAGAGGCCUGAGAACAAGGAAUUCAAACCCCGAGGUGCCAGGUGGAAUGGUUGUGCAAAGAGGGACAUGCCCGGACAUACUUCCACAGUGCAUUGGGACCAAUCUGACAAGCUAACUGAGGAGCAGUUUACUUGGCACCCUUAUGUUUGCUAGGCAGACUAUGGUAUGAUGAGGACAACACGUGUCUAUUGACGUGCCCAGGUCAAUCUUAUAUUAGAAGACUCUCUGCAAGGCUAUCAUCGCGUCUUACAACAAUUCGGGUUCGCUCAAGAUGUCCCAGCAUUUGUUCCCCAUAGGCCUGUUGAUAAGAUGGAGGGGGACUUCUUUAUGCAAGUGAGCUUCUUCAGAGGGCGCGAGCAUCUGAAUUUUGUGCAAAUGGAAGGUGUUGGAGUGACACCUUCUUUUAGAUCUUGGUUAGAGGGGGAAAAAGUGAGGAAUCUCAGACUUUUAGGGAUGCAAGCGAUCGGAUGAGAUUCGAACUCAAAGAUAAUGGUGCAUAAUUAUCUGCAAGAGGAUCUUCAUAUGCUACUGGAUUAUCUGAAGAAGCGAGCCCAAACAGAUAAAGGGCUAGGGUCUUGAAUUCGUUAACUUGAGUUCACAAGAGAGUAAGGCUCGCCUAGAUACAACAUUGAGAGAUCUGAAUUCUGCCAGAGAGGAGAUCGAGGCCCUUAAAAGGCGCCUUAAGCGGUGUGGCGAGGUUUCGAGUAAUUCACCCAUUCUUAAUCUAUCUCUCCUUCUUCUUCUUCAUCUUCUCCUUCUCACUUCUCAUCAUGGCAUUUUGACUUACUUCUAGGCCGAUCAUGGGAUCGAAAGCACACACAAUGGUCUGAAGUUGAGAGCUUGAAUAUAAUCCCUGAAGUCCUAAUUGAGAAUCCUCAAACUGGCAAGUAUAACAGUAUGUCUUUCAUAUGGUUUUUGCUAGCUGUAAAUGGGUAAGUGAUAGGGCAUUAUGUAUGUCUUUAUGGGUUUUUUAGGUGUUACGGCAAAGAAGAAACAAUGAUGGUAAACAAGAGCGAGAGAGAGGUUUAGAGAGAGAAGUUUAGUAAAUAUGUUGAGUCUUGGGUUGGUUAGAGCACCUGUUUGGCAAGCAGGAGGCCUUGAGUGAACCCAUGGGUAAGUAGGGAAAGAUAACAACUGCUUGGGAGAGAAAAGCUAGUGAUGGAAAAUAAUGGUGGCUAGAGUAAGAAAACAAUUGCUAGUGAGAGAAAACAAUAUCUAGAGAGAGAAACUAGUACGGAGAGGUUGAGAACAAUAUGUAGAGGGAGAUUGUACAAUAAUUUAGAGAGAGAACAAUAUGUAGAGUGAGAAGACAGUAAUUUGAAGAGAGACAAUAGUGUGAAGACAACAAUUGGAGAGAGAAAACAGUAUAUAGAGAGAAAAUAGUGUGGAAACAGCAAUUAGAGAGAGAACAGUAAUUUAGAG